rnacentral:rRNA from 1 species
UACGAAGGGGGCUAGCGUUGCUCGGAAUCACUGGGCGUAAAGCGCACGUAGGCGGAUUGCUAAGUCAGGGGUGAAAUCCUGGAGCUCAACUCCAGAACUGCCUUUGAUACUGGCGGACUCGAGUCCGGGAGAGGUGAGUGGAACUGCGAGUGUAGAGGUGAAAUUCGUAGAUAUUCGCAAGAACACCAGUGGCGAAGGCGGCUCACUGGCCCGAUACUGACGCUGAGGCACGAAAGCGUGGGGAGCAAACAGG